GACGAACGCUGGCGGCGUGCUUAACACGUGCAAGUCGAACGGAAAGGCCUGCUUUCCCUUGUGGAUUGCGGGUACUCGAGUGGCGAACGGGUGAGUAACACGUGAGUGAUCUGCCCCCAACUUGGGUAUAAGCCUGGGAAACUGGGUCUAAUUCCCGAUAGGACUGCAGGGUGGUGCCUGUGGUGGAAAACGAUUUUCUAGUGGUUGGGGAUGAGCUCGCGGCCUAUCAGCUUGUUGGUGGGGUAAUGGCCUACCAAGGCGGCGACGGGUAGCCGGCCUGAGGGGGUGGACGGCCACAUUGGGACUGAGAUACGGCCCAGACUACUACGGGAGGCAGCAGUGGGGAAUAGUGCACAAUGGGCGGAAGCCUGAUGCAGCGACGCCGCGUGGGGGAUGACGGCCUUCGGGUUGUAAACUCCUUUCGACCGCGAGGAAGCCACCUGGUUGGAAGGGUGGUGACGGUAGUGGUAGAAGAAGCACCGGCUAACUACGUG
rnacentral:rRNA from 1 species